rnacentral:lncRNA from 1 species
GGCUCCCGGAGGAAGUCACUCAUUCUGCGGUUCAGUCGGUUUGCCCAAUGAUUUCACGUUUCAAUCUACAGUUUGCUAACCUCUCCUUUGGAAAUGCUGAUGAAGAUCUCGAGAGGUUCAGCUGAAGGUUUCUGAAUUGCAGCCCCUGCAGGUCUGUCUCCCUGGUUUGAAAACAUAGCCCUGAAUGUAGGUCUUUAUGUGGUCCUUUUGAUGUGUGCUGGUGACCUGUGAGCCUCACCUCUUGCAAAUGAAGGGGUCUCUGCACCUGUGUGCCUGGCAGAAGCACUAGACCUUGCAAAUGCAGCUGUUUUAACCAAGCAUUGGUUCAGUGGUGUAACUUUGCAGGCAGGAUCCUCAUGAUUUUCUCAGAUGUCUUCUUCAGUCCUGAAGAUUUUAUUUGUUCACUCAGCUGGAUUGCUCCUAGCAGUGCAACAUUGGAAAUUCGAGCUGUGCCAUACUGUAUAGAAAAAACAGGUCAGCGUGAAACCAGUUCCAAGCCCAACCUCACACAAGGCAACCAGACAAGGCUGAAGUGCUGCCACGUACUGCAGACAGCCAGAAGACUUUGCAGGAGAACAAGUAAAGGUUGUGCUGAACAAUUGGGAACAUUUCCCAGGAUGAGAAGAGAAGGAAAAAUUGCAUUUGAAAUGUGGCAGUGGCAUGCAGCCAGGAUCAGGAUGCUCUGUGAGAGUGAAAAGAUGCUCCUAUACCAAACAAAACUCAUUCCAAAUUAGAGUUCUUUAGUCUCAGAAAGGAGUACAUUUCCCUGUAAGUCUCCCAGAUACUUCUGAGUGGGGGCCAGGUCAGUGAGAAUGAAUGUCAUUUCUUAUUGUACCUCACUCAGACUCCUAUUUCCUUUUCAGUCUCCCUAUGGCUGUUUUUGUCUUUUUUUUCCUCUUAGUGAGCUAACCCUGGGCCUGAACACAGAACAGCUGGAGGACAACUGAGAGGACAUGUAGUAUUAGAAUGGCAGGUACAACAGAGACAAUGAAAAUCACUGACUUGACCCACGUGUUUUCAGAAGCUUCUCAUGGCCUCGUUU